UACGGAGGGUGCAAGCGUUGUUCGGAUUUACUGGGCGUAAAGAGUGUGUAGGCGGUGCUCUAAGUUCGGUGUGAAAUCUCCCGGCUCAACUGGGAGGGUGCGCCGAAAACUGGAGUGCUGGAGCGCGGGAGAGGAAAGCGGAAUUCCUGGUGUAGCGGUGAAAUGCGUAGAUAUCAGGAGGAACACCGGCGGUGUAGACGGCUUUCUGGACCGUAGCUGACGCUGAGACACGAAAGCGUGGGUAGCAAACAGG
rnacentral:rRNA from 1 species